UACAGAGGCCACAAGCGUUAGGCGGAAUCACUGGGCUUAAAGCGUGUGUAGGCGGGUUGGUAAGUAUCUUGUGAAAUCCCACGGCUUAACCGUGGAAUUGCUGGGUAUACUGCCGAUCUUGAGUCAUCUAGAGGUAACCGGAACAGAUGGUGGAGCGGUGAAAUGCAUAGAUAUCAUCUGGAACGCCAAUGGUGCAGACAGGUUACUGGGGAUGUACUGACGCUGAGGCACGAAAGCCAGGGGAGCAAACAGG
rnacentral:rRNA from 1 species